GCCAGCCUCGUAGUCUUAUCCAUUUCUCUGGUGAUGGCUAUGGCGACGGCGACGGCGACGGCGCCCGCGCCCGCGAGCUCCUCGAGCCGCCCCGCCACCCGCAAGCCGCGCCGCCGCACGCUGCCCGUUACCCACCGCCGGACCCCGCCUCCCGCCGUCCGCGUCGCGCCCGCAACUGCGUGUCGUUGCUGCCUGUGCUCUGCCUCGUGGCCUCCUCGACUCCUCGAGCCGGAGCUCGCUUCCGCCGGUGGCCAGCAGCAGCACCACCAGCAGGUCCCGCGUCGCUCGCGCCCCUUCUUCCUCAGUCCUGCCCGAGCUCGCGCCCAACCGAGGCCAGCCAACCCCGCCGCCAGAGGCCACCAUCGCCACCGCAGAUGAGCGCCGCCCCACUCCUUUCUCACAUCUCCCUCCGGUUCCCCCUGCUCAUCUCCCUCCCUGGUUUCUUCUCUACAGGAGCGCCAUGGUCGCUGAUCCCAUGCCCGAGGCCUCCUCAUCGCCGUUGUCGUCUGCUUCGUCUCCCGCCGCUGCGUGCCUGGACUCCACCGCUCGCACCUCCGCCCGUGCCCAAUCUCUGCUAAACUCCUCGCCCUUGCUGUCGUUGCUCUGUUCGUCGAGAAAGAGCGAGCGGGAUACCCGUUCCGCCUCCGUGUCCUUGUCAAACUCCUGCUCCCGUGUCCUUCUCAAACAAAGAAACCGUACCGACCAGGAUUUGUAGUUCGAUGCUAUAUAUUGAAUUGUUCUCUGCCGGAAUCCAGAACCAGGCCAGCGCCACCAGCGAGCAGUGCACCAUUGAAUUGUUCUCUGCCGGAAUCGUGAAUCAGGCCAGCGCCACCAGCGAGCAUUGCACCGUCGCUUGGGAUAUGAUACAGAUAUAAUUCUUCCCUUGCUUCUCCUGUUUCCUGUGGUAUAAUGUUGCAAUUCAACUGCUACUAUGUGAUCUUGCAAUUGUCGUAGUUAUGUUUCCUGCCGUAUAAUGUUGCCGUAUUAAUAGCUGCUCAAUCUGUUUUUGAUCAUGCUGUGAACAUUGGUGUGUUUGUGUGCCCUUGCUAGAAGUCUUAGCAAAAGUGACGAAGUGAUUGACUGAUUAUGAGCAGACUAAUAUCGACUGUACAUGUACCAAUACAAAAAAAACAGAAAUUGAGAGCAGGGUUAUGGAUAGAGUUCUAGAGAUUUAGGAGCUCCUCGCUCCACACCUACAUUCAGAAACAACAGUUUUGAUGAAUCUGUCCUUCUACUUGUGUUGGACCUUUAGAUGCUACAUCAGAUAUUUAACAACUGCAGAUUCAAUGAGCAAUCAAGCAAAUCACGUUUCUCUUGUGAAAGAUGUGAAAUACUUGACCAGCUUGUUCCUUUGUUCCUUUGUUCCUUUGAUCAAGUUUCUUAUCUGGGUUUCAUUGAUUGAACUAUUGGAGAAAUUUGUAUGCUAUUUGCUGAUGCCUGUGUUACUAUGUUACUACCUCUGAUCCCCAAUUUGAGCAAAACUUCAAUGCUUAUUUUGGCCUGAUUUGUAUGCUAUUUGCUGAUGCCUGACUAUGAUUUUUGGUUGUCGCUCUAUUACAGUGUAGUAAUAUAUAAUUUGGUCUGUUUGUGUUGUUGUGUUACUACCUCUGAUCCCUAAUUUGACCGCGGAUGCUGCUGCUACACCCGCACCACCAGCCCAAGGUCAGUCUCCUUCACCUUGCUCUAUAGCGCAACUCCCGCCUGACACCAUGUUGGCUUACUUCUGCCCCUCUGGUUUGGAGAGUGUGCGCUCUCAGCUCUGCUGGGCCGGUCGUGCUCUCUUGCUGAUUCUUACCUGCAGCUCCAACAUGAAAGCCUACAAAUCGACUCUUGAGAUUUGUCUUCAAAAUAGGAUUUUUUUUUUACUAUUACAUACUCUACUGAAGUUACAUGAUGUGCAGUUUAGAAAGUUGAUUACUGGGGGACUUUUACUACAUGUCCAAUUAUGGUUUCAUGAUAAAAGGAUCAUGCACCAAACGUUUGUUGAAUUGCUGCUUCAAGAAAAUGUAUGGAGUUUUCAUUGCGUGCUUCAAGUCAUUAACCAGGUAAAAUAAAUCCUAUAAGCUGUUCUUACCAUACAAUCUUUUGAACCAAUUUUUGUAAACUUAGUACAAUAUGAUUAUUGUUUUUGUAGGCUUUCCUAUAGAUAUAUUUGAGCUAUUAAAAAUGUGAUUAUAUCAUUUGUCAUCAGAAAACCAGAUUCAUUUAUACAUAAUGGGACAUAAUGUCCAGAAAAUAGUCACCAGGUACAAACAUCACUCUUGACCUACAUUGUACAACAUUGCAUAAUUUUCUGUUUUUCUUGAGGUACCGCUCAGUAUUUUUUUAUCGCAUACAUAGAUAGGACAAAGGUCACAAGAGAGUGCACCUUGCUGCAUGUGCACUCACUUGAUUAAGAUAUUCAAAGUGUGAGCUUUUGAAAUUUCCAAAAAUAAGUCAGAUUGUCAUUAUUAACCCAUGUGCACAUGCAAUGCUUUCUGACUCUCUGACAAUUGUCUUUCAGAAUAAUUUGAUGAACCACCAUGUCGCCCUUCCGCUUGGUUCCAUGGGAAAGCAAUUUACAAAGCUCCAGUUGGUCAAUACAGCCUUGAUUCCAUGUUUUCUACCACUGCUUAACUUUAUUUGAAAAACUGUUGUUGUUAUGUAUGCAGGAUAGAGUAUAGAGUUGUAUGCAGGAUAUAGUACUAGCGUUGGAAUUUCAGGGCAUCCAAAAAGAACUUAGUAUGCUUCAACCCAUGUUUUCUACCAUUGCUUACCUUUAUUUGAAAAAUUGUUGUUGCUAUGUAUGCAAGAUACAAUACUAGAGUUGGAAUAUCAGGGCAUCCAAAAAGAAUUUACUAUGCUUCAGGUAAGAAAGUUAAUUUGUUUGACUUUUGUAGGGACUAAAUUACUAGCUUAAUGCAUGGAACUUAUUGAGCUGCAGUCAUGGCAUGUGCUUACAUAGAGACCUUCGUUCUGUGGAUAUACCUCUUCUUAUAGGACAGCAUGUGCAUGAUGCAUUGCUCCCCUUAGUUUUCGGAGGAACAUGGUGCUAUUCCUGGUGCUUUUGGUUAUGAAAAAACUGACAUUAGUCAGGAACUUUCUAAGUUUAUGUGAGAUGUGGCUGAAAGAAGAAAUGAGAUAGCCGAGAUUCUAAUGGAUUUCCCCCAAUCGACAAUGAUAUUUCAUGACAUGAUGUGAAAAGUGGAGCCGCUUAAAGUACAUGGCGAGCUCACCAUGGCUGCCUUUCUUCCAACAGAUUGGGAACCGCCGACCGCGACCCAUGGUGUGUAGAUGAUACACCGGUGAGGCGUUCCAAGGACGAAGAGGAUCUGACGAUUUUCGGGGAUGAGGAGGAUCUUGCGAUUUCCAGAUUUCAAGUGUCUACACACUAUAUGUAGUAAGUUAUUUAGAGAAGUAGUCAAAUUAAAUCUGGAUACCAAUUUAUUGGAACAUUAUAUUUCUUACAGAAGUAGUCAAACAAUGAUAUCAAUUUGUUGGAACCAUCAAGGAGGUGACACUCCUGGAGGGUAUAUAUUCUCCAUCUUAUGCCUAUUUGAAAUACGGUUAUAGGUC